UUGAACGCUGGCGGCAGGCCUAACACAUGCAAGUCGAACGGUAACAGGAAGCAGCUUGCUGCUUUGCUGACGAGUGGCGGACGGGUGAGUAAUUUCUGGGAAACUGCCUGAUGGAGGGGGAUAACUACUGGAAACGGUAGCUAAUACCGCAUAACGUCGCAAGACCAAAGAGGGGGACCUUAGGGCCUCUUGCCAUCGGUUGUUCCCAGAUUGGAUUAGCUAGUAGGUGGGGUAACGGCUCACCUAGGCGACGAUCCCUAGCUGGUGUGAGAGGAUGACCAGCCACACUGGAACUGAGACACGGUCAAGACUCCUACGGGAGGCAGCAGUGGGGAAUAUUGCACAAUGGGCGAAAGCCUGAUGCAGCAAUGCCGCGUGUAUGAAGAAGGCCUUCGGGUUGUAAAGUACUUUCAGCGGGGAGGAAGGGAGUAAAGUUAAUACCUUUGCUCAUUGACGUUACCCGCAGAAGAAGCACCGGCUAACUCCGUG
rnacentral:rRNA from 1 species